GAUGAACGCUGGCGGCGUGCCUAACACAUGCAAGUCGAACGGAACUAUUUUGGAAAGUCCUUCGGGACUGGAAUUCAUAGUUUAGUGGCGGACGGGUGAGUAACGCGUGAGCAAUCUGCCUCGGAGUGGGGGAUAACAGCCGGAAACGGCUGCUAAUACCGCAUAAUGCAGUCGGUCCACAUGGAUUGACUGCCAAAGGUUUAUCUGCUUUGAGAUGGGCUCGCGUCUGAUUAGCUAGUUGGCGGGGUAACGGCCCACCAAGGCGACGAUCAGUAGCCGGACUGAGAGGUUGAACGGCCACAUUGGGACUGAGACACGGCCCAGACUCCUACGGGAGGCAGCAGUGGGGAAUAUUGCGCAAUGGGGGAAACCCUGACGCAGCAACGCCGCGUGAUUGAAGAAGGCCUUCGGGUUGUAAAGAUCUUUAAUGAGGGACGAAAAAAAUGACGGUACCUCAAGAAUAAGCUCCGGCUAACUACGUGCCAGCAGCCGCGGUAAUACGUAGGGAGCGAGCGUUAUCCGGAUUUACUGGGUGUAAAGGGCGAGUAGGCGGGACGGUAAGUUGGGAGUGAAAUCUGGGGGCUCAACCCCCAAACUGCUUUCAAAACUACUG
rnacentral:rRNA from 1 species